AAUCGGCUUAGUUAACAGGCAGAAAUCAAAAAUUUGUUAAAUCAAAUACCAAGGUUUUUCGAGUAGGCAAUUACUGUCAACCAGCGAUUGUCCUUCAAAUAGCCUUGGACAUCC